GAGACUGCCGGUGACAAACCGGAGGAAGGUGGGGACGACGUCAAGUCAUCAUGGCCCUUAUGGGUAGGGCUACACACGUGCUACAAUGGUCGGUACAAAGGGUCGCCAACCCGCGAGGGGGAGCCAAUCCCAUAAAGCCGAUCUUAGUCCGGAUCGCAGUCUGCAACUCGACUGCGUGAAGUCGGAAUCGCUAGUAAUCGUAGAUCAGCAUUGCUACGGUGAAUACGUUCCCGGGCCUUGUACACACCGCCCGUCACACCAUGGGAG
rnacentral:rRNA from 1 species